rnacentral:rRNA from 1 species
UCCUACGGGGCGCAGCAGUGAGGAAUAUUGGUCAAUGGUCGGGAGACUGGACCAGCCAAGCCGCGUGAGGGAUGAAGGUACAGAGUAUCGUAAACCUCUUUUGUCAGGGAACAAAGGCGGGGACGUGUCCCCGGAUGAGUGUACCUGCAGAAAAAGCAUCGGCUAACUCCGUGCCAGCAGCCGCGGUAAUACGGAGGAUGCGAGCGUUAUCCGGAUUUAUUGGGUUUAAAGGGUGCGCAGGCGGUCUGUUAAGUCAGCGGUCAAAGCCCGGGGCUCAACCCCGGCCCGCCGUUGAAAAUGGCAGG